rnacentral:tRNA from 1 species
GCGCCCGUAACUUAACGGAUAAAGUGCUAGCCUUCUAAGCUAGCUAUCGAGGUCCGACUCCUCGCGGGCGCA